AGUGAACGCUGGCGGUAGGCCUAACACAUGCAAGUCGAACGGCAGCACAGUAAGAGCUUGCUCUUACGGGUGGCGAGUGGCGGACGGGGGAGGAAUACAUCGGAAUCUACUUUUUCGUGGGGGAUAACGUAGGGAAACUUACGCUAAUACCGCAUACGACCUACGGGUGAAAGCAGGGGAUCUUCGGACCUUGCGCGAUUGAAUGAGCCGAUGUCGGAUUAGCUAGUUGGCGGGGUAAAGGCCCACCAAGGCGACGAUCCGUAGCUGGUCUGAGAGGAUGAGCAGCCACACUGGAACUGAGCCACGGUCCAGACCCCUACGGGAGGCAGCAGUGGGGAAUAUUAGACAAUGGGCGCAAGCCUGGUCCAGCCAUACCGCGUGGGUGAAGAAGGCCUUCGGGUUGUAAAGCCCUUUUGUUGGGAAAGAAAAGCAGCAGGUUAAUCCCCCGCUGUUCUGACGGUACCCAAAGAAUAAGCACCGGCUAACUUCGUG
rnacentral:rRNA from 1 species